AGGCCUUUGGGGCCGGGGGGCACACCUGUCCAUCCCAGAACCCCUUGGGGGCAGGGGCACACCUGUCCAGUCAGAGCCCCUUGGGGGCGGGGGCACACCUGUUUCAGAACUGGCGCAGGUGCUCCCAGGUGAGCCACUUGACACGGUACCAGCAUCACAGGAAGUUCAGCACGGUUGGACUCUCCAGGCCAAACUGCCACCAUCCUGCCUUUAGCCAUGUACAGGGCUUGGGAUUCAGCUCUGUGUGGUCUCAACAAUCUUUAUCUGUGGCCAGGCUCAGAGCCUAACCAGUGACAAAAAUAAUGGCAAAACACCUGCCCUGCGCUCUGUAAGAUUGAUCAUAAUGGAACAAGCAGUAUCAGUCAUGCAGAAUUUUCUGGAGACACCAAGAGGAAGGAAUGUUUCCCCUUUACCUCCACCACUUCCUCUAGUCCCCCCUAAAAUACAGAGAAAGAUUGGUGCUCCCCGCAGUGGAGGGGCCAUAAUUCAUAAAUGGAAAGUUCUGGUACCCACCUAGAUACAAUGGGCCUUUAAUCUACCACCCACUUCCUCAGGCAGGACUAGCACACGGGAACCUGGGUCACAGACUGAGCACACAAGGAAGAUGGGUUCCAGCUGGAGAGCUGAACUUCAUGGAGAGGCCGGCCAGGAAACCCUGAUACCCUGCUGGCGCUGCCCCUGGCAAGUGGCGUCUCAACAGGGACCUGAAGUUUAUUCAGAUGUCCAUGGUUCCCUAAGGAAGGCACCCGGCCGCUGCUUCUGACAUUCUGGUCACAGAAGCCACUCCUUUACUGAAAGGAUUUUCCGUUAGUAAAGAGAAUGGUCGUGUAACAAAGACUGAUGAUCCUGAUGAUGAAUCAGAUGUAACGGCUGGGGCAGACCUAGAGGGAGAGGCUGCUAAGUGUCAUGAUCAUGAUAAAGCCAGGCCGCGGCUCCCUUCCUGGCUCUCAGCGUCGUAAGGUGAGCCCGGUCCUGCCCCCUGGCUCCGUGGGUUUCCAUGGGGCUCUUGGGCAGGCUGAGGAACGAGGAGACUGAACGUUCUCAGGGCCAGGUGGUGGUGCGCCUGGUUGAGCGACAUGUUACAGUGUGAAAGGACACGGGUUCGAGUCCCUGGCCCCCACCUGCAGGGGGAAAGCUUUGCGAGUGGUGAAGCAGGCCUGCAGGUGUCUCUCUGUUUCUCUCCUCCUUCCCUCUUGAUUUCUAUCCAAUAAAUAAAGAUUAAAAAAAAGUUCUCCUGCUUUCCUGUCAUUUUUGAUGAGGACUGGGAAGACAGUCCACUGUGGGAGCCAUUACCAUAUCAAGUCCUUAAGGAACUUAAAAAUGCAGUCAGAGAUCUUGGAGCAACUUCUUAUACUCUCCAGCUAGUGGACUUGCUCUCUAGUCUGUGGGUGACACCUUAUGACGGUUCCAAACUGCCCGCUCAUGCCUCCCAGGAGGACAGUUUUUACUCUGGAAAGCAGAAUAUGAAGAAUUGGCAAAAAAAAAAAAAAAAAAAAAAAAAGAAUCCGCUCUAGACAGGAAUUCAGGAAAUAAAGUGACCUUGGUGAUGCUUUU